rnacentral:rRNA from 2 species
UGGGGGAUAUUGCGCAAUGGGGGCAACCCUGACGCAGCAACGCCGCGUGAAGGAUGAAGGUUUUCGGAUUGUAAACUUCUUUUAUUAAGGACGAAACUUGACGGUACUUAAUGAAUAAGCUCCGGCUAACUACGUGCCAGCAGCCGCGGUAAUACGUAGGGAGCAAGCGUUGUCCGGAUUUACUGGGUGUAAAGGGUGCGUAGGCGGCUUUGCAAGUCAGAUGUGAAAUCUAUGGGCUCAACCCAUAAACUGCAUUUGAAACUGUAGAGCUUGAGUGAAGUAGAGGCAGGCGGAAUUCCCCGUGUAGCGGUAAAAUGCGUAGAGAUGGGGAGGAACACCAGUGGCGAAGGCGGCCUGCUGGGCUUUAACUGACGCUGAGGCACGAAAGCGUGGGUAGCAAACAGGAUUAGAUACCCUGGUAGUCCACGCUGUAAACGAUGAUUACUAGGUGUGGGGGGUCUGACCCCUUCCGUGCCGGAGUUAACACAAUAAGUAAUCCACCUGGGGAGUACGGCCGCAAGGUUGAAACUCAAAGGAAUUGACGGGGGCCCGCACAAGCAGUGGAGUAUGUGGUUUAAUUCGAAGCAACGCGAAGAACCUUACCAGGUCUUGACAUCCAACUAACGAAGUAGAGAUACAUUAGGUGCCCUUCGGGGAAAGUUGAGACAGGUGGUGCAUGGUUGUCGUCAGCUCGUGUCGUGAGAUGUUGGGUUAAGUCCCGCAACGAGCGCAACCCUUGCUAUUAGUUGCUACGCAAGAGCACUCUAAUAGGACUGCCGUUGACAAAACGGAGGAAGGUGGGGACGACGUCAAAUCAUCAUGCCCCUUAUGACCUGGGCUACACACGUACUACAAUGGAUGUUAACAGAGGGAAGCAAGACAGCGAUGUGGAGCAAACCCCUAAAAACAUUCUCAGUUCAGAUUGCAGGCUGCAACCCGCCUGCAUGAAGAUGGAAUUGCUAGUAAUCGCGGAUCAGCAUGCCGCGGUGAAUACGUUCCC